ensembl:lncRNA
AGAAAUAAAAGCCCCAAACUGUCAAGUAAACUGCACCUGUACGAAGCAGUUAAAUGGUUCCAUCUGCUAUUAUCCCGGGAGAUCAAAGGCCAUCCCCGGGAGGGGUGCCCAAGGACCAAAGCAAAGGGUAGAGCGCCUUGUCUUGGAGUUUAAAAAGAAGAGGACAACGAAGAGGAGAGCGGUCAGUUUUGUUACAGAGGCCAAUUAGCAGUGCUACCUUCGCCUGCGGCAAAAAGCCAAGUAAUGGCGGGGCAAGCCCUCCGGAGAGGUGAUGAAUAACUCUGGAGAGCUGUAAUUUGAAAGGGGGGCCUUUGAAGCAUUUACCUUACAUGGGACGCUAUUGUCACUGCAGGGUGUUUGAUCUUAAAAUAAUUUACUUAAUGAUCUCACCAUGGGAGCAAUUGGCAGAGCAAGAUUAGGCUGUAAGGCCUAAUGGACAUGGGAAAAGUUAAAAUUGCUCGGAGAAAGUGCAGAUUCUAGCUAAGCAAUAUCAUAAAGGCCUGUCCAUGCAGUCCAAUGUCUUGUGUAUUCUUCCAUUGGGAAGCAGUACCCAGAGAAUGUAUCUACACACAUCCUCUGGGAAGUUUGACUUCAUGUUAUUUGUGCAAAAUAACAAGCUCAACUUUGAGCUCAAAUUAGGUUUUGGGACACAGAGUGAAGUCUGCUCAGAUCCAUCUGUCUCCUUACUAUUUCAACCAAUAUACUCCCUCCUACAAAAAGUAUGUCUUCAGAAAGUGCACUCAGGUUGGAAAAGUGUGGAAAGAGCAGAUGAACUUAUUGUCAGUGGCCAUAUGAUCCCUCACUGUUCAUUGUCUUCAUCACUAAGUAAGACCCUCCAG